rnacentral:rRNA from 1 species
UACGAACUGUGCGAACGUUAUUCGGAAUCACUGGGCUUAAAGGGUGCGUAGGCGGCGCUGUAAGUCAGGUGUGAAAGCCCUCGGCUCAACCGAGGAAUUGCGCUUGAAACUAGCAGUGCUUGAGUGAGGUAGGGUGCAUGGAACUUCCGGUGGAGCGGUGAAAUGUGUAGAUAUCGGAAGGAACGCCGGCGGCGAAAGCGGUGCACUGGGCCUUGCCUGACGCUGAGGCACGAAAGCUAGGGUAGCGAACGGGAUUAGAAACCCUAGUAGU